AAAGAGCUUGUUUUGGAGACACUGCCCAACCCCUUUCAGAUAACGUAAUCAGAAGGACAUAACUUAUUCUCAUGUUUUCACUUCUUCCAGCAUGAU